UACAGAGGUCCCAAGCGUUGUUCGGAUUCAUUGGGCGUAAAGGGUGCGUAGGCGGCCUUGUAAGUCAGUGCUGAAAUAUUCCGGCUUAACCGGGAGGGUGGCAUUGAUACUGUGAGGCUAGAGUACAGAUGAGGUAGGCGGAAUUGACGGUGUAGCGGUGAAAUGCUUAGAUAUCGUCAAGAACACCUAUAGCGAAGGCAGCUUACUAGGCUGUAACUGACGCUGAGGCACGAAAGUGUGGGGAUCAAACAGG
rnacentral:rRNA from 1 species